rnacentral:piRNA from 1 species
UAACCACUGCAGUCUGCCCAGCUGCCUGGUC